CUCGAGCCCCGCAUCCAUCCUCCUCCCCCGCUAUCCACUCCCCACCCUCCCCCCACACAGCCGCCGCCUCUUCCCUUCCCUCCUCAUCUCGAGCCCUUCCCAGCCGACGGAGGAGCCCCCAUCCCAAUCCCGCGUCGGAGUUCAGAGGCAGGGGAGGUGUGGAUCGAUGAUGGUGUAGCAAAGAAAAGGAUGGGAGAUCGAGGAGGGAGCGAGCCGUUGCAGAGGAGAUGGGAGAAGGGGGUGCGCGGUGGUGAGGCAUCGGCACCGGAGAAGCAGAUCAGCGGUGCGCGGUGAAGCGGGAUAGGUGACGCCGGCCGGCGCUUGCGGGUACGUCCUGCGGGAUGAGACCGCAGCUCCAGUCUUCUCCCCGCGGUGGUCCACGGCGCUAUCACUGUCGUCCUCAGCAGGAGGAGCGCGGGACGCAGAGGCGGCCGGCUCCGUCCUGCUCUUGUGCCAUCGUACCUCUGCCUUUCUCGUCUGCCGCGCCUCAGGCUAGCAGGUGGACGGCGUGGAGAGCUCUCGUCACAAGACACAGGAGGAUGGCUCUCGCCGACGCCGCGCACUGCUCCUCUCGCCUCUGUCGCGCUCUGCUCCGGCUCAUCCUCGCCGCGCUCUGCUCUGGCUUGUCGUCACCGCGCUCUGCUCCGGCUUGCCACCGAAAAGGUUGUGCUUUCGGUCCAAGGAGACGAUGGGUCGCCGGAUCCGUCGGCCACCCCAUGGACUUCGCCUGGAACGCGGGCUGGGAGGCGGCGCCGCCAGCCUGCAACCCCGACCCCGACCAACCCGGCGCCGCAGAAGGUGGAGGCGGAGUCCAUGAUGCUUGUCUCCGGGCCGCGCGUCGCCGUCUCCGGGCUGAGGCGAGCCGACUGCCGCGCAGGUCGUGCUCUCCACCAUGUCAAGUUACCGUCCUUCGCUGGUCUUGCCGUGGAUUAGGCUGUUGCGGUCCAUGAGUUGACAAGUGGAUUCAUAAGGUCGGAUUGAUAAGAAUCUGGAUAGGAAUCCUUGAGUUGGCUCGGAUUGAUAAGCACUAGGAAUGGUGCAGCCCCCAAAUCCUUGAGUUGGUUCAGAGUUAGCCUUGGCUGCUCCCCUGCUUGAAAAUGGCCCUGAUUUAGGUUUAGAGUUAACCUUUCUUAGGCUAUUUCACACGCUAUGACUGAAGUUUUUGUUCCCUGCUAAAAAGCCUUCAUUUUUGUUCCCUCCGAUCAGGUUCAUUUUUGUGUACUGCUCCCUGCGAAGAAACCUUCAUCUUAUACUGCUCCCUGUUCUUAUUACCCUUUCAGUGCCUACUCUCAUGAAGAUGAAUGUGUCAUGUUCGUCAAUGCCGGUGGGUAUAUCUGAAAUAACUGCAAAGGAAGCAGAAGACAAUGUGCUCCCGAGAGAGAUGGUAAGCAGUGCCAUCAAUCUUGACAAUUAAUUUGCUAGAAUUAUCGCAAGACUUGUCAAAACUGAAAAUUUUGACUGCAUCGGGUAAGAUUGACUGAAGAAAGCAACUAAAACUUCAGAGAAUAUAUUGUUGUUUAUAUAAACUGAAUACUGGUGUACUGUCAAUAUUCAGUAGCAGAAAUUAAACUUCUGAGUAUAUUGUACUGUCAAUAUUCAGAAGUAGAAAUUCAGUGGUGUACCACUAAAACUGUGAUGGUUCCUCUUUGCUGUGCAAUGUUAACAUCAGAUUAUCCAAUGUUCCAUAUUUCAGCACAAUAUUCAAUACUCUUAUGUCCCGCACAAUGCACCGCACAAGGUCCCUGCUCCCUUCCCUGCUGCAGGUAGCACCCUCCCUUUUGUUCAGUUUCAGUAUGCAAGCGAACAUGUGCAGUUCAUGUGCACUGAUUCUCAAAACUGAAGCAUUUACAUGGCCAUGUUGGUUUCUUCAGUGAGGAGACGAGAGAGGAGAUUGCUGGAUCUGGAAAUGGAGGUCAGUACCACCUACAGGACAAGAGCGCCGCUCCUCUCCGACUCUUCAAGUCUCUCAUGCUCUGCUCUUUGCUCUGGCUGAAUUAGAAGGUUAAUGGUGUAUACCUGCUUCUGAGCUGCCAUGCAGAGACUCUGUUAUCUCUUGAAUUUAUCCACUGCCAACUUUAUCCUGCAGUCAUGGAUAAAGUUUGCAUUAGUCUUUGCCAGCCAGCUAGCAUUAAAAGCUGAUGUGUUUUAUAACAGAGUGACAAAUAUGACUAUUUGGGGUAACCAUUCAACAACUCAGGUUCCUAAUUUCUUGAAUGCCAAAAUUAAUGGGAGGCCAGUAAAAGAAGUCAUCAAAGAUACAAAGUGGCUAGAAGAGGAUUUUCCUAUAACUGUUCAAAAGGUACAUGGAGAAGGUGGUGGUGCCGCCGAGGCUGUUGCUCCCGGUGUUAGAGAGGGCGUCGCUGACCGAUGCCGCCGGCUUGCCCGAGGUGGCCUGCACGUCUUCAUGACCAGCCAUCUCCCCAGUCGUAUGCAGAUCCACAGUGGAUCAAGCGGAAUUGGCACAUUUGCUAUACAGAUUGCAAAGCGCCUUGGAAUCAAGGUUUUUGUCACUGCAGGUUUAUUGGUUCAGAUAGAUACAGUAUAUAUGGUACAAAGUUGUUUUCCGGAAGCAACUCUGUUAUGCCGCUCUAGAAAGCCAAAGAGAAACUAACCGCUUGCGACGUUUAAGGUGUGGAUAUAUGCAGAAACUACAAAACCUUUGUAGCACGUAUCGAAGAAGAAACUAAUGGAAAUGGUAUUAUCCUGCCAUCCUCUUGUGACGCUUGAUGCCCUGAUGCAAAAGUAAAAUAAAAUUAUUUGGCUUUACCAAGUUAUACCCGUCAAUUUCAUAUACAUUCUAACUGUAAUAUGUGGAAUAUCUCUACAAGACCUUGAUGUCAUUCUGGACAACGUAGGCAGAUCUUAUCUCCAAGGCACUCUGGAUAGCUUAGCAGUUGAUGGUAGACUUUUCAUCGUUGGUUUCAUGUGAGGCGCUGUAAUUGAAGUGAACCUGCAGGCGAUGCUUGCCCGAAGACCGACUGUACAAGCAUCUCGCACAAUGUAUUCAGAGAGAUGCUGCCACUGGUGAUACAUCUGUGCGAAGCCAGAUCCAGAAUGAGUCGACAGAGUUGGGAGUAGCGAUACAACAUCUGGGGGCUAUGCUUUUUGAGCUUGGACGCUUAGAAUGGGGCCAUCUCCUGUAUACAUUUUUCUACUAUGUCACUAUCACACAAGUGAUUCACAAGGUUUAAGUAUUCUUAUAGCUUUUUUAUUUUGUAGGCUAAUGUUUUUGUAAAUGCUGGGCAUGCUGCUUAUACAAACCCCACUGGACCAAGUCCAAUCAUGGUUCAGGCUACCUGUAUAGCUUUGCUUUCCUAUCAUGAACUGCUGACAACUUUGUUUUGGGCUAUCAUGCUAGCAUGCACUGUAACAUAUAUCACUAUGUAUUAACAUGCUACCUAAGUAUCUAUUUCUUUAUACAUUAA